UGAUCGCUCCCUAUGCCGGCCCGAGGAUCCCCGUGAACAGGGACAGCCCCUACGUGUGGCUCGUGCUGAAGCAGCAGACGACACUCAACGUGACCACCGUCAACAACAUCUUCGCCACGCUCUUCGAUAUUGACUAUUCUGUGUAUAUGGAAGAUGUAAUCUCUCUCCUAGCUCUGUCAAGUGAGUCGGAGGUGUACUUCUGUCACAUGGGUGAUGCUGUACUGUGUCACGUGGGCCCUGAUGUACUUCUGAGCCUCCAAAGUCGUACGGCUUCAACACAUUCCGGGCCAACACAGACGAGUACGCUGCCGUCUACAUCAGGAGGCUGGGAUAUCUCAACCAGUGUCCAGGCUACUACGGCAAAUGGUUAACAAGCUAUAUCAGGCAACGAGGCGGAGUGCCAUCCCUGUCGUUAACCCUCCAUCUAACUGUCUCUGUUGACGUCAGCUUUUCUGCCCCAGUCAUAACCUACAGGUCAUGUGACAUACUGUACUCAAAAGGACCUGUAAACAUCACGUUAGAUUACCAGAGCUUGAAGCUGUUAGGCUCCGUUCAGACUCGAAUCUCCCCCAAGGUCACUCUGGUUCCCAUGGAGAUCCGUUAUGAUCCCCCUCUGUCACACUGAAAGACAAGCAGUACACCCUGUUGAUGCUGGACCCGACCCCCGAGCUGGGAAAGACCAAACAGAACUCCUAUAUUCAUUGGAUGGUCGUCAACAUCCGGGGUACUGACAUCACUUCUGGUGACGAGGUGUAUGACUGGCUUCUUCCCAUGACGUCAACGUUGAAUCAGCUCUACCUCUUUGCCUUGUUCGAGCAGACGACACAUGUCGGCGCCGCAACGGCGAGGACCUACGGUGGAGCAAAUUGUCCUGCAUUCAUCAAAUUCAGGUGCAUGUUUCGAGCUGGCGACUUCAUCCGUGACAAAAACCUCUCCCUCGUCGGCCUACGACAUCUCAGAAUCAUCCGGUAGCAAGCACACGACGCUAUCGGCGCCCAUAGUUGGGUAAAAUAAACAAAACAUGGUCGUGGUUCCUGCGAGUGGAUAUCGAAGAGUUGAUCUUAGAUGAUAUAUCAGGAAAGGUACCGCUAAAAAGAGUGUGCUGAACAAAAAAGGUUAGAUCAUGAAUAUUUUUUCUCUAGUGAAGACCGCGAGUACUCAAUUUCAUAAAUAUACCGAAAAAAUAUUCAUGAUCCAUGCUUCUUUUUUAGUAUUAUUAUGCUAUAUAGAAUAGAAUGGAUCUUUCAUACACUGAAUAAUCAAGGCUGAUGUUUGUUUAUCUGUUUGUAAUGAGUAAUGUGGAGCCGCCAUAAAUCGUAUUUGGUAUGCAGAUUCAUCCUUCAAAAAUAAAUGUUUCACGUAAAAUAUUCUUUAUGUGCUAUAUUUUUUCUAUAUUUUCCCUGUAAUUUAACUUAAAUCAUACUUAGACUCCUUUUUUUUGGAUUAUUGGUUUGUUUUUUGACGCCGCA